rnacentral:rRNA from 1 species
AUGAACGCUAGCUACAGGCUUAACACAUGCAAGUCGAGGGGCAGCAUGACUUAGCAAUAGGUUGAUGGCGACCGGCGCACGGGUGAGUAACACGUAUCCAACCUGCCGAUUAUUCCGGGAUAGCCUUUCGAAAGAAAGAUUAAUACUGGAUAGCAUAACGAGAAGGCAUCUUCUUGUUAUUAAAGAAUUUCGAUAAUCGAUGGGGAUGCGUUCCAUUAGUUUGUUGGCGGGGUAACGGCCCACCAAGACAUCGAUGGAUAGGGGUUCUGAGAGGAAGGUCCCCCACAUUGGAACUGAGACACGGUCCAAACUCCUACGGGAGGCAGCAGUGAGGAAUAUUGGUCAAUGGACGAGAGUCUGAACCAGCCAAGUAGCGUGAAGGAUGACUGCCCUAUGGGUUGUAAACUUCUUUUAUAUGGGAAUAAAGUGGGCCACGUGUGGCUUUUUGUAUGUACCAUACGAAUAAGGAUCGGCUAACUCCGUGCCAGCAGCCGCGGUAAUACGGAGGAUCCGAGCGUUAUCCGGAUUUAUUGGGUUUAAAGGGAGCGUAGGCGGAUUAUUAAGUCAGUUGUGAAAGUUUGCGGCUCAACCGUAAAAUUGCAGUUGAUACUGGUAGUCUUGAGUGCAGCAGAGGUAGGCGGAAUUCGUGGUGUAGCGGUGAAAUGCUUAGAUAUCACGAAGAACUCCGAUUGCGAAGGCAGCUUACUGGACUGUAACUGACGCUGAUGCUCGAAAGUGUGGGUAUCAAACAGGAUUAGAUACCCUGGUAGUCCACACAGUAAACGAUGAAUACUCGCUGUUUGCGAUAUACGGCAAGCGGCCAAGCGAAAGCAUUAAGUAUUCCACCUGGGGAGUACGGCCGCAAGGUUGAAACUCAAAGGAAUUGACGGGGGCCCGCACAAGCGGUGGAGUAUGUGGUUUAAUUCGACGCAACGCGAAGAACCUUACCAGGCCUUGACAUCCCUUGCAGAGGUAUAGAGAUAUAUCCGAGGUUAUCAAGGAGACAGGUGGUGCAUGGUUGUCGUCAGCUCGUGCCGUGAGGUGUCGGCUUAAGUGCCAUAACGAGCGCAACCCUUAUCUUUAGUUACUAACAGGUCAUGCUGAGGACUCUAGAGAGACUGCCGUCGUAAGAUGUGAGGAAGGUGGGGAUGACGUCAAAUCAGCACGGCCCUUACGUCCGGGGCUACACACGUGUUACAAUGGGGGGUACAGAAGGCAGCUACACAGCGAUGUGAUGCUAAUCCCAAAAGCCUCUCUCAGUUCGGAUUGGAGUCUGCAACCCGACUCCAUGAAGCUGGAUUCGCUAGUAAUCGCGCAUCAGCCACGGCGCGGUGAAUACGUUCCCGGGCCUUGUACACACCGCCCGUCAAGCCAUGAAAGCCGGGGGUACCUGAAGUACGUAACCGCAAGGAGCGUCCUAGGGUAAAACUGGUAAUUGGGGCU